AGAGUUUGAUCAUGGCUCAGGACGAACGCUGGCGGCGUGCCUAAUACAUGCAAGUCGAGCGGACUUUAAAAGCUUGCUUUUAAAGUUAGCGGCGGACGGGUGAGUAACACGUGGGCAACCUGCCUGUAAGACUGGGAUAACUUCGGGAAACCGGAGCUAAUACCGGAUAAUCCUUUUCCUCUCAUGAGGAAAAGCUGAAAGACGGUUUACGCUGUCACUUACAGAUGGGCCCGCGGCGCAUUAGCUAGUUGGUGAGGUAACGGCUCACCAAGGCGACGAUGCGUAGCCGACCUGAGAGGGUGAUCGGCCACACUGGGACUGAGACACGGCCCAGACUCCUACGGGAGGCAGCAGUAGGGAAUCUUCCGCAAUGGACGAAAGUCUGACGGAGCAACGCCGCGUGAGUGAUGAAGGUUUUCGGAUCGUAAAACUCUGUUGUUAGGGAAGAACAAGUACAAGAGUAACU
rnacentral:rRNA from 1 species